rnacentral:rRNA from 1 species
UACAGAGGGUGCGAGCGUUAAUCGGAGUUACUGGGCGUAAAGGGCGCGUAGGCGGUUUGAUGGGUGUGAUGUGAAAGCCCUGGGCUUAACCUAGGAAGCGCAUCGCAAACUAUGGAACUGGAGUAGAUGAGAGGGUGGCGGAAUUUCCGGUGUAGCGGUGAAAUGCGUAGAGAUCGGAAGGAACGUCAAUGGCGAAGGCAGCCACCUGGCAUCAUACUGACGCUGAGGCGCGAAAGCGUGGGGAGCGAACAGG